UCUCGGCACAUUGGAAAAUCAUGGAAUAACCAAACAAAAUAAAGAAGGUUACUUACGGAAAGCGUUUGUAAAAUUUAGCAAAUUUCAGCUCAAGUUAAUUUAUAGAACGAUGGAGAUUUAAAAUAUGAGAUGCAUUACAAGGUACAGAAUUUGUGAUCGAAAUGUGUAAAUUUGCCGAGACAUAAAUAACAAGAACAGGAAUCAUUGAUUGCGAGAAAACCGUAGAAGAUUCUAGGAAACUGAUAUCGAUUGCAACCCGAAUUAUCUCGGAACUAAAUCGACUCUGAAGUUAGAAGACGAAGGCGCAGAAAUAAUCAUCAUGAGCGAGAUGUCUGACCAUGAAGAGUCUGUGCUGGACCAUUUGAUGAGUAACAUGACAACAUUUAAGAAACAAAGAACCCCAACUGCCAAAAAGAUACAUAAAAUUUAGUGAUGAGGAUUUUUCUGAUAAUGAAG